GUUCAUCAAGGAUAUUGGUCUAAAAUUCUCUGUUUUGGUUGUGUCUCUGCCUGGCUUUGGUAUCAGGAUGAUGCUGGUCUCAGAAAAUUAGCUAGGGAGGAUUCCCUCUUUUUCUAUUGAUUGGAAUAGUUUCAGUAGGAAUGGUACCAGUUCCUCCUUGUACCUCUGGUAGAAUUCGGCUAUGAAUCCAUCUGGUCCUGGACUCUUUUUGGUUGGUAAGCUAUUGAUUAUUGCCACAAUUUCAGCUCCUGUUACUGGUCUAUUCAGAGAUUCAACUUCUUCCUGGUUUAGUCUUGGGAGAGUGUAUGUGUCAAGGAAUUUAUCCAUUUCUUCUAGAUUUUCUGGUUUAUUUGCAUAGAGGUGUUUGUAGUAAUCUCUGAUGGUAGUUUGUAUUUCUGUGGGAUUGGUGGUGAUAUCCCCUUUAUCAUUUUUUAUUGUGUCUAUUUGAUUCUUCUCUCAUUUUUUCUUUAUUAGUCUUGCUAGCGGUCUAUCAAUUUUGUUGAUCCUUUUGAAAAACCAGCUCCUGGAUUCAUUAAUUUUUUGAAGGGUUUUUGUGUCUCUAUUUCCUUCAGUUCUGCUCUGAUUUUAGUUAUUUCUUGCCUUCUGCUAGCUUUUGAAUGUGUUUGCUCUUGCUUUUCUAGUUCUUUUAAUUGUGAUGUUAGGAUGUCAAUUUUAGAUCUUUCCUGCUUUCUCUUGUGGGCAUUUAGUGCUACAGAUUUCCCUCUACAAAGUGCUUUGAAUGUGUCCCAGAGAUUCUCGUAUGUUGUGUCUUUGUUCUCGUUGGUUUCAAAGAACAUCUUUAUUUCUGCCUUCAUUUCGUUAUAUUCCCAGUAGUCAUUCAAGAGCAGGUUGUUCAGUUUCCAUAUAGUUGAACAGUUCUGAGUGAUUUUCUUAAUCCUGAGUUCUAGUUUAAUUGCACUGUGGUCUGAGAGACAGUUUGUUAUAAUUUCUGUUCUUUUACAUUUGCUGAGGAGAGCUUUACUUCCAACUAUGUGGUCAAUUUUGGAAUAGGUGUGGUGUGGUGCUGAAAAAAAUGUAUAUUCUGUUGAUUUUGGGUGGAGAGUUCUGUAGAUGUCUAUUAGGUCCGCUUGGUGCAGAGCUGAGUUCAAUUCCUGGGUAUCCUUGUUAACUUUCUGUCUCGUUGAUCUGUCUAAUGUUGACAGUGGGGUGUUAAAGUCCCCCAUUAUUAAUGUGUGGGAGUCUAAGUCUUUACUUAAGAAGUCUAACUCCUCUUUGUCUCAGAAGAGUACCCGGCCAUGUGUGGUGUCAGUCUGCCCCUACUGGGGGGUGCCUCCCAGUUAGGCUGCUCGGGGGUCAGGGGUCAGGGACCCACUUGAGGAGGCAGUCUGCCCAUUCUCAGAUCUCCAGCUACAUGCUGGGAGAACUACUGCUCUCUUCAAAGCUGUCAGACCCCGGGACAUUUAAGUCUGCAGAGGUUACUGCUGUCUUUUUGUUUGUCUGUGCCCUGCCCCCAGAGGUGGAGCCUACAGAGGCAGGCAGGCCUCCUUGAGCUGUGGUGGCCUCCACCCAGUUGGAGCUUCUGGGCUGCUUUGUUUACCUAAGCGAGCCUGGACAAUGGCAGGCGCCCCUCCCGCAGCCUUGCUGCCGUCUUGCAGUUUGAUCUCAGACUGCUGUGCUAGCAAUCAGCGAGACUCCGUGGGCGUAGGACCCUCCGAACCAGGUGCGGGAUAUAAUCUCCUGGUGCGCCAUUUUUUAAGCCUGUCGGAAAAGCUCAGUAUUAGGGUGGGAGUGACCUGAUUUUCCAGGUGCUGUCUGUCACCCCUUUCUUUGACUAGGAAAGGGAACUCCCUGACCCCUUGUGCUUCCCGAGUGAGGCAAUGCCUCGCCCUGCUUCGGCUCUCGCACGGUGUGCUGCACCCACUUACCUGUGCCCACUGUCUGGCACUCCGUAGUGAGAUGAACCCGGUACCUCAGAUGGAAAUGCAGAAAUACCCGUCUUCCAGCAUUUCUUGUAGAGAAAACAGGAUUGGUAGUUUCUGUAGAAUUUGGUUACAUUCCAAGGGUUCCUGAAGCCAGGCAUUGAACUUUAUGAAAUUCUGAGAAACUUUCUUUUAAAAAUAGGAAGUGGAAAUGGAGGGUGAAGAAUUGGAAUAAGCCUCUAGCAAAUUUAGUAGUUACAAAUAACCACCCUAAUAAUUAUUUCACAUCUUAAAAAAAGAAAUGUUCUGCAUGCUCAAGAAAUUAAAAAUUUUCCUUUGGCUUUAUACACUUGACUACUAAGUUCAAAAAAAUGAAUGUUUCUUUAAUAACUACGUCAAUCAACUUCAGCAGAUGUGAAAUAAUCAUUAGAGUAAAAAAAGUUGAUUUGGAACAGGAUGACAGUGGUUUAUAUCAGUUUUAUUUGAGGCAUGCCAACAGUGAAUGUUAGACACUAAUGUAGGGAUGUUAGAGUAGAUAAUUUCAUGUUCCAUUCAGGAGUCUGGGGAAAAAAGCAGAGCUAGAGACACUGUUUGGGGGUUUCUCGGCCUAUAAGUGGUAUGUAAACCAGAAAAUAUGUAAGAUUAUCAAUGGAAUGACAAUAGACAGAAAAUCACCCAAAAAUUGGCAUAGGGAACUCCAAAGUGUAUGGCUUUUUCCAAUUUUCAGGAACAAAUAAUUUAAGAAAAGAUUGUGGUUACUAUGAAACUUGAGGGGAUGCUUAUCAGCUGAGAGACAUGGCUUUGAUGGGGUUAAGGUGGCCAACAGCAUAAGAACAGUUGAGAAUGAAUGUGUUAGAAAGUGUGCCCAGGUUAAAAAACACUGUUCUUCUCAAAAUGCCUUAAUCAAUAGGCCAUGACAUUGUCCCAAGUUUUCAAAAAGAGUCAUCUGAAAUAAAAAUUUGCAUCCUCAUGAUUAGCUGAUGAAAUUUAUACCCCUAAAAACUGCAGAAUAAUUACAUGUCUUUGUAAGAGGUGGUCCUAAAAGUUACCAAAGUUUAAAAGCAUCAUGCUAUUUUCCACAUAAUGUUUUUAUUUUCCACGUAAUGUUUUCAAAAGAUGUUUGAGAUUUUUGAAAAUUGGAUUAGAUGUAUUACCUACCAUUUUAAUAUUAAUUUGGCAGUACUAUGUAAUGACUUUGGGAUAUUUUGUGUUUCAUAUUUGAUAGUGUACCUUAUUUUAUGUAUAAAACAAAAA
rnacentral:lncRNA from 1 species